rnacentral:rRNA from 1 species
AUUGAACGCUGGCGGCAGGCCUAACACAUGCAAGUCGAACGAGUGGCGGACGGGUGAGUAAUGUAUCGGAAACUGCCCGAUGGAGGGGGAUAACUACUGGAAACGGUAGCUAAUACCGCAUACCAUGAGAUGUGCAAAGAUGGGAUUAGCUCGUUGGUGGGGUAACGGCUCACCAAGGCGACGAUCCCUAGCUGGUCUGAGAGGAUGACCAGCCAAACUGGAACUGAUACACGGUCCAGCCUCCUACGGGAGGCAGCAGUGGGGAAUAUUGGACAAUGGGCGCAAGCCUGAUGCAGCCAUGCCGCGUGUAUGAAGAAGGCCCUUGGGUUGUAAAGUACUUUUAGCGGGGAGGCGUUACCCGCAGAAGAAGCACCGGCUAACUCCGUGCCAGCAGCCGCGGUAAUAC